rnacentral:lncRNA from 1 species
CAGCUUUCCUUUCUGUAAAAUUGCAUAAGCAUACAGGAACAGUUUUCCUUAUUUCCUUGAAAAGCACAGAUAAUCAAAACAGUCUUAAGUGAAAACCUCAAGACARGGUGGUAUGUAGGCAGCCCCUAAGACCAUGGUGCAUGUGGCUGCCAAGUCCAAGAGCAUUUGAAUGUCUGACAGGGAGAGAGGAUAUGUGACAUCUAUACUUUUGUGGAAAGUAAAAUCUCCUUAUAGGCUGCACAUCCUCUGCUGUUACUACACAGUGGCGCAAUCCGGGGCUCCCAGUCGGCCCUGUGAUCACAGGGAAAACAACCAACAUUCCAGUGUGCUGUGUGACUAAGCUAGGAUGAAUGGUGGUGUCAGGGUUCUCCAUGAGGAUGACCUAGGCAAACAUCUAUCACCUGCUCUCCUAAUCUCCUCAGGACUCCUGAAGGAAGGCCACAUCUCAUCGCUAUAACAUGGAGUAAUCUCUUAAAUGCCCAAGAGUAGAAGCUUCUUGUUCCCCGCUGUCAUGGAAAGCAUGCAACAUCUUAGAUAAAAAUAAUCGGAGCCAUCUUCAGUCCUUGGCUCCAGAAUGAGAGUCUCCGGAAUGAGAGCCUCAGGAAUGUCUCGGCAUAGCUGAAGGCAACCAGAUCACCAAGGCACCUCUGUGCUUCAGCUCUUUUUAGCAGUGGGAUUAUUGGGAGUUGUGUAAAUAGACCUCUGUGCUCUGGGUGGUUGCUCAUCCCCCAUUCUGAGGCACACUUGCUUUAUUAAAACUCUCAGCUGUUGCGAUGACCCAGGCGUGGAGAAAUGAAAAGCUCCCCUCACCAACUGGUGGCAGGCUGCAAACUACAGCCCAUUUUCCCUCAUAAGGACAUGUUACUCCUAUUAGAAACUGUGUCCCUCGUGUCCUUAAGAGGGGGGACACCUGCCAAUUAUAAGUGAAGAUCUCAUCUGUUCCAAAUAAGGAAGGAGGCUACCAUCCUAGUUGGCAGUCCUUUUAUACUUAACAGAUCUUUUUUGAAUCCUAUUCUUAUGUAUUUCUUGUAUAAUUGAAGUAUUAUAAAAGGUAAUAAAAAUGGAAAUCCGCUGCUGGGAUUUGAGACU